ACCUGAGCUGAAAUCAGACGCUUAACCAACUGGGCCACCCAGAACACACCUCACACUGGCCCAGACUCACUCUGAGUUGCGCCUUCUUGCAUGGAGCCGAAGCAGAUCAAGAACCCAUUGCUACAAGGAAGCACCUAUUCCCUCCAUUUACUUUGCACCUACAUCUAUAAAGAAUAAAAAC